rnacentral:rRNA from 3 species
CCGCUGAACUUAAGCAUAUC